GAUGAACGCUGGCGGCGUGCCUAAUACAUGCAAGUCGAGCGAACAGAUAAGGAGCUUGCUCCUUUGACGUUAGCGGCGGACGGGUGAGUAACACGUGGGUAACCUACCUAUAAGACUGGGAUAACUUCGGGAAACCGGAGCUAAUACCGGAUAACAUUUGGAACCGCAUGGUUCUAAAGUGAAAGAUGGUUUUGCUAUCACUUAUAGAUGGACCCGCGCCGUAUUAGCUAGUUGGUAAGGUAACGGCUUACCAAGGCAACGAUACGUAGCCGACCUGAGAGGGUGAUCGGCCACACUGGAACUGAGACACGGUCCAGACUCCUACGGGAGGCAGCAGUAGGGAAUCUUCCGCAAUGGGCGAAAGCCUGACGGAGCAACGCCGAGUGAGUGAUGAAGGGUUUCGGCUCGUAAAACUCUGUUAUUAGGGAAGAACAAACGUGUAAGUAACUGUGCACGUCUUGACGGUACCUAAUCAGAAAGCCACGGCUAACUACGUG
rnacentral:rRNA from 1 species